AAUCAACGCUGGCGGCGUGCCUAACACAUGCAAGUCGAACGCGACUGGGGACUUCGGUUCUCAGUUGAGUGGCGAACGGGUGAGUAACACGUGGGUGAUCUACCUUCGAGCGGGGAUAACGUUCCGAAAGGAACGCUAAUACCGCAUGACGUCCUGGGUUUAAAGACCUGGAGACCAAAGCUAGGGACCGCAAGGCCUGACACUUGAAGAGGAGCCCGCGUCCGAUUAGCUAGUUGGCGGGGAAUGGCCCACCAAAGGCGACGAUCGGUAGCCGGCCUGAGA
rnacentral:rRNA from 1 species